ACACAUGAAAUUAAAUGCCAUUAUAGGUGAUCAAAAUAAAUGGUUCAAAACAUGUAUGUCUCAUACCUGAAAAAGAGUCAUAAACAUUACAUAUUCAACUAGCCACUAAAACUGAUAAUCUACUAAAGAUUCAUAAAUAUUGCAUAUCCAACUAGCCACUAAAACUGAUAAUCUACUAUCACUCUAUCUCGAUGCUCUCUCCCUUCCUUAUCACUGGCUUUGUCAUUUUCUUGAUCUCCUCAUGUUUAAAAAGUAACGUAGCAAUGUCUAGCCCUAGCUCGGCUAGCAUCAAAGGUCAUUGGCAUGGUCUUCAUUUCGUUAUGGAGCAUGUGUUCUGCAUAUUUAAUGACAAAUAUGCCGCAAUCGUGGCUGAAAAGAAAAUGCACACUUUAUUACGUCAUAGUAAGCAACGUAAAAUGAAUUAUGUACGUUAAACAAAUUACUACUUCCUAUGCAUCGUUGCAAAACAAAUUACUACUUCCUACGUACCCAGGGGCGAAUCCAGCAUUGUAGUUCACCUAGGGCAGAGAGAUUGACUGCUGACUCGUGACCAUUGACCAAUGACCGUUGACAAUCAAUGAUAGUAAAUAUAAUUCAAUACUUAUGUAAAUGCACUAAAACAUAAAAGUUAUAUACAUAUGAAAAUAUAAUUCAAUACAAUUCAAAAUACUAAAACAAGAAAAUGUAUGAUACUAUAAACUUAGACAACAACAUUCUAUGGGAUCUCAUAAUUUCCUAAACCUAAAUUCUCAAAUCACAAAUCAAAUAUCACGAAUGAUAAUUUAUAACUUAUAACUCAUACAACAUAAAUUAUUUAUCAUAAAUCACAAAUCACAAUUCUCAUUUAUCAUCAUACAGGGACCUCACCUCAAUGCUAAAAGAAAUUAAAAUGAAGGCGAAAGUGUCGAUUAACCUCAAGAAUCAAGAUCGGCAGUAAUUUUCUUAGUUAACAUAAUUUGUAUGAAAAUUAAACAUAAAUUAAACUUAAUCUUAAAGACUUAAACUAUCAUCAGUUUCCAAUUUCUAAUUUCCAACACAAAUUGAACGUUUCUCACAAAUCAUAAAAUUCCCAAUUCACAUAUUUACAAAAUUUACAAAUUCCCUAAUUUUCAUAAAUCAUAAUCAUUGCAUUUAACAUAACAAUCAAAUUAAAUCAUCAAAGUCAAAAAGAAAAAAAAUAAAAUAAAAGCCAGAAUAGCUCACCAAGGUAAGAAGUCGCAUUCGCAGCCAUCGGCGUCCACUCAACUUGCACAAUCGAAACACUCCAUCGUCCACCUCCUCGUCGCUCACCACUUACCGGUCACCUACUCACCAUCCGCUCAACUUGUACCACUCUGCCAGGCACCAAUUCAGCACAAGAUAUGUAAGAAAUGGCAACAAAGGUACCUUUCUUUGUCAUGGUGGGGCUUUUCUUGCCACCUUUGGCAGUGGCGGUUGAAUCAGAAACUGGAAGCAGCGGGUUCUUGGAGGAUUCUAUAUUGCUGCCAAUUGCCCCAAUCGCCUUUCACUCUUUCAGCUUUCACAGUUUCACGAUUUGGGGGAAAAUGAAAUUUGGAGUUGAAGGGAAAAUGAAAUUAUAUGGAUUAUGAUUUAUGGACCAAGACAAUUCAUUGGGUAACUGAUUUGGGCCUACGAUUUUUAAGCAAAAAGAGGCCCAUUGUGAAGAAAAUCAGCCCAACAACAAAAUAAAAAAAAGACCCAGGUGCAGUGGCAAAUCUUUCUCCUAUUUUCCUCUAUCUAUAUCCAUGCUGCGUCUGCAACUCCAUUCUCGACGGUCUGAACAUUUCGGCGGAUCUAGCUAGGGCGGUCGCCUUAGCUAGCCACUACCUGGAUCCGUCACUGUACGUACCACUCAAGUGCAUGCAGACAUGAAUCAUGUACGUUAAACAAAUUACUACUUCGUAAGCACCAUUACAAAACAUCUGAGAUCGUCAAUUUUAUGGUUCGUCACAAACCGUGAUACAAGUUGGUCAUAACCAAAAUAGUGGUCUCAACGAUCUCAAGAAAUUCCAUAUUUGUGAAAAAACACCAUUUUACACAUUGGUCACACCGAUUACAGUGGUCACAAACACAGUUGGUCACAUGAAACACAUCCACUGUCAUAAUCAAGGUCACAAACCCAUGCACUGUGUCCUAGAUAUUGUAAGUGGUAACAAUGGGCUCAACUUAUUCCACAUUUUGAAACACACCAUUACACACAUUGGACACAUCGAUUAUAGUGGUCUUGAUUGUCAAAACACACUGUUUGUCACACAAAACACAUCUACCUUCACAUACCCUAGUGACACCGAUUACAGUGGUCACACCAAAAAUCCCAAUCACAAGAACAUUUCAAUCCUUAAAAUACCCUAUAUGUGACACACCAUUUCACACAUUCGUCACACCGAUUGUAUUGGUCACAAAGAUCACAACAUAUUGUUGGUCACAAAAAUAUCCUUUAAGCUCACAGACAGAGGACACAAACCGGUUCAAUGUGCUGGUCCCAACACGAUGUCGUUCACAAAAAUGAAUGAGUCACAACGGUGUCAACAUAUACUGCCUUUCGGGUGACACACAAUGACAAUUUCACCCAUUCUUCACAACGAUAUACUAGUCACAACACAAAUGCUCACAAAAACACAAUGUUCGGGCCACAAAAAACUCUGCGAUCAUAUACGCAUGACACAAACCCGUUCACUGUGUCGGUCCCAACACAUUAUUGGUCACACAAAAAACCUCUACUGUCACAGGCUACAGAUUCUGGGAUGUCUGGAACUAUUAAUCAACGCUAGAAUGCAACUCAUGCUAUUCCAACAACAUUGCAAUAAAAGAUACAAAUAAUCUGAAUUGGGAAAAGUAAUUACAUUACCUUGAUCGAUUUAGGUUUUCGAGACAUAAUCGGAAUUUUAUGGGUUCCUUCGCAAACUACCCUCGCGACUUUUGGCCAUCUUGUUUUCUCAUGAUCAAUGGCAGAUUCGUCGCUGAUUUCGGGCUUCGAUUUCUUGACAUAACUCCUUGUAUUGGACAUUUUUUGGGAUACCCAAUAAACGAUCCCUUCCACUGCUUGGCUACUCUGGAAAGAGAGCUAAAUGGGAGAAAUUGAAGACUUCAAUAAGACCCCUUCAGAUGAAUGGGUUAGGGAUUUCAAUCGUCAAUUAGAUGAAUGGGAAAUAUUCAGGAUUCGAUUAUGAAAGCUAAUUGGUAUUAUCCACAUUGAUAAGGCCGUCAGAAGAUUUAGCGAUUUUCUAGAAACACUGUUUCCUAAUUUAAAACUCUCUCUCUCUCCAGUUUAACUUAAAUGAUGGUGGUGAUUAUGAAUAAUAAAUAUUUAUUUACAUAAUAACAUAAUAUUAAUUAAAACCUAAAUAAUGAAAUAUAAAACUCGCUUCUUGAUUUCUGAAUUUGGGAUACUAAAAGCCGCCCAGGCUGUAAUUUCCUCUAUUUAUUUUUGGUUAGCCCAUCUACAUAUCAGCAUCAGCCUGUGUUGAAAUUAAAAGCAGCCCAAGCCCAGGAACGAAAAAACCUAGCUCAAAUCCACCGCCAUUACCGGAUUUAUCUAGAG
rnacentral:lncRNA from 1 species